rnacentral:lncRNA from 1 species
CGAAAGGUGGUUCCCAUUACUCUACUGGGUUUUGCGCCACAUAGUAUUGUCCUUCCUUCUCUGCUCAUGAUCCUCUCUUUCCUCCCUUCUUGAUGCUCUCGGUCCCCUUUCUGACUGGCUGUUUCUUGUCGGUAGUUCUGCUAUUUCAUUCCUUUCUUCCUUUUGUUACACAUGCUGUGUUUCCAUGCCAUCGAGGGUUCCCGGUCCAGUCUGCUGUUCGCCGGGCUUUCAGUUCGCGGUCUGCUUGUUGUCUCAAGGGACUCCGCUGUUGUUGGCUGGACAUUUCUCGCUGCAGGUUUUAUACACUUCGCCUCGUCCCAUUUUAUUGUGACAUCUUUGUC